GUCGACUGUACCAGAAAUCGGUGAGCUAACCGCAAGGAGGCAGCCGCUUAAGGUAYGGUCGGUGAUUGGGGUGAAGUCGUAACAAGGUAGCUGUAGGUGAACCUGCAGAAGGAUCA
rnacentral:rRNA from 1 species